GAUGAACGCUGGCGGCGUGCCUAAUACAUGCAAGUCGAGCGAACAGACGAGGAGCUUGCUCCUCUGACGUUAGCGGCGGACGGGUGAGUAACACGUGGAUAACCUACCUAUAAGACUGGGAUAACUUCGGGAAACCGGAGCUAAUACCGGAUAGUAUAUUGAACCGCAUGGUUCAAUAGUGGAAGACGGUUUUGCUGUCACUUAUAGAUGGAUCCGCGCCGCAUUAGCUAGUUGGUAAGGUAACGGCUUACCAAGGCAACGAUGCGUAGCCGACCUGAGAGGGUGAUCGGCCACACUGGAGCUGAGACACGGUCCAGACUCCUACGGGAGGCAGCAGUAGGGAAUCUUCCGCAAUGGGCGAAAGCCUGACGGAGCAACGCCGCGUGAGUGAUGAAGGUCUUCGGAUCGUAAAACUCUGUUAUUAGGGAAGAACAAAUGUGUAAGUAACUAUGCACGUCUUGACGGUACCUAAUCAGAAAGCCACGGCUAACUACGUG
rnacentral:rRNA from 1 species